GAUGAACGCUGGCGGCGCGCCUAACACAUGCAAGUCGAACGGUUAAAGCACCUUUUAGGUGUGUAUAAAGUGGCGAACGGCUGAGUAACACGUGGGCAACCUGCCCUCCUCUUGGGGAUAGCCUCGGGAAACCGAGGAUAAUACCCGAUACUUCAAUGUGGCCGCAUGGCGACAUUGAGAAAGCUUUUGCGGAGAAGGAUGGGCCCGCGGCCUGUUAGCUUGUUGGUGGGGUAGAGGCCUACCAAGGCAAUGAUGGGUAGCUGGGUUGAGAGACCGACCAGCCAGAUUGGGACUGAGACACGGCCCAGACUCCUACGGGAGGCAGCAGUGGGGAAUCUUGCACAAUGGGCGAAAGCCUGAUGCAGCGACGCCGCGUGCGGGACGAAGGCCUUCGGGUUGUAAACCGCUUUGCAGCAGGGACGAGGCGAUAAGUGACGGUACCUGCAGAAGAAGCCCCGCUAA
rnacentral:rRNA from 2 species